CUUGGAGGUAGUGACAAUAAAUCACAAUGCGGAACAAUGUUUUGCAAUUGGAUUGAGAACAACGUACAAACCUUAUCGAUAAACAAUUGGAGGGCAAGUCUGGUGCCAGCAGCCGCGGUAAUUCCAGCUCCAAUAGCGUAUAUUAACGUUGUUGCAGUUAAAAAGCUCGUAGUUGAAAUGAAGGGUAGUUGUGUAAUGAAUACAUUCGUGUAUUUUGUUAUUCAACUACCCUCCUUCUAAAUUCGAUAUAUGAGUAUUAAUUUACUUGUAUAUGGUUUUAGACAUUUACUGUGAGAAAAUUAGAGUGUUCAAAGCAGGCAUUUGCUUGAAUAUAUUAGCAUGGAAUAAUCAUGUAUGAUUUUCAUGAUGUAUUUGAUUGGUUUGGUUCAUGAGAAUAAGAUUAAAAGGGACAGUUGGGGGUAUUCAUAUUCAAUAGUCAGAGGUGAAAUUCUCGGAUUUAUGGAAGAUGAACAAGUGCGAAAGCAAUU
rnacentral:rRNA from 1 species